rnacentral:lncRNA from 1 species
GGAAUUGGCUGCAAACUUAUUCAUGUGUUUUCUUUUCUUUUUGCUUGUUUGUUUUAGAAAUGGCUCCUCAGAGCCAUUUUCCAUUUGGGAUGGAGAAUUCUAAAAGAUACAACAGGCAUGAAGGAAUUGUGGAUUGCCCUGCAAGAUGCAUUAUUUCCAUCCAUUAACAUAUUCAGAUUAUUCCUUGGCCAACAAAAGAUAAUCCAAGAAGAAACACAAUACUUCAGUUUUUCUGAAAUUACAGAUUUGACUUAACCAGGUAUAUCUGCACAUUCUUCAGAAAAAAUUACUCUGGGCCUUCUCUAAGUCCACUAUUUUUCUGUAUUCUGCAAAGAUGUGUACAGACCAAGAUGUUUGUUAGGUCUUCAACUCUGUGAUGUGUUCCUAUGUAUCUAUGCUGUAUCUGCCUUUGCUACUGCCUAUUGAAAAAGAUGGGAGGGACUGUUUAUUUUUUAUUUCUAAUAAGAACUGGGGAUUUUUUCCCAUAUUUGAUGCA